rnacentral:rRNA from 1 species
AUUAGCCAUGCAUGUCUCAGUGCAAGCCGAAUUAAGGUGAAACCGCGAAUGGCUCAUUAAAUCAGUUAUGGUUCCUUAGAUGAUGCACAGUUACUUGGAUAACUGUGGUAAUUCUAGAGCUAAUACAUGCAACUCGGUCCCGACCGGCGACGGAAGGGACGCUUUUAUUAGAUCAAAACCAAUCGGUCUUCGGGCCGUUUGUCUUGGUGACUCUGAAUAAAUUAUGGCAGAUCGCACGGCCCCCGAGCCGGCGACGCAUCUUUCAAAUGUCUGCCUUAUCAACUGUCGAUGGUAGGUUCUGCGCCUACCAUGGUUGUAACGGGUAACGGGGAAUCAGGGUUCGAUUCCGGAGAGGGAGCCUGAGAAACGGCUACCACAUCCAAGGAAGGCAGCAGGCGCGCAAAUUACCCACUCCCGGCACGGGGAGGUAGUGACGAAAAAUAACGAUACGGGACUCAUCCGAGGCCCCGUAAUCGGAAUGAGUACACUUUAAAUCCUUUAACGAGUAUCCAUUGGAGGGCAAGUCUGGUGCCAGCAGCCGCGGUAAUUCCAGCUCCAAUAGCGUAUAUUAAAGUUGUUGCGGUUAAAAAGCUCGUAGUCGGACUUGUGUCCCACGCUGCCGGUUCACCGCCCGUCGGUGUUUAACUGGCAUGCACGUGCGGACGUCCUGCCGGUGGCCCGAGCCGGCGCGGGUCUCGCACCCGUCGUCCGGGGAAGGCCUAUCAUACCCGUCGCGGUGCUCUUAACCGAGUGUCUCGAUGGGCCGGCACGUUUACUUUGAACAAAUUAGAGUGCUUAAAGCAGGCAGCAUCCGCCUGAAUACCGAGUGCAUGGAAUAAUGGAAUAGGACCUCGGUUCUAUUUUGUUGGUUUUCGGAAUCCCCGAGGUAAUGAUCAAUAGGGACAGACGGGGGCAUUCGUAUUGCGACGUUAGAGGUGAAAUUCUUGGAUCGUCGCAAGACGGGACCGAAGCGAAAGCAUUUGCCAAGAAUGUUUUCUCUGAUCAAGAACGAAGUUAGAGGUU